UGUUUAUAAUACAUACACUUUGAGGAAAUAGAUAACAUUACUCAACCAUUCUUGCUGAAGGUCAUCACAAAGUGUUUGCUUAAAGUACAAAACUAUACAAUAUGUA